rnacentral:rRNA from 1 species
GAUGAACGCUGGCGGCGUGCCUAAUACAUGCAAGUCGAGCGAACAGACGAGGAGCUUGCUCCUCUGACGUUAGCGGCGGACGGGUGAGUAACACGUGGAUAACCUACCUAUAAGACUGGGAUAACUUCGGGAAACCGGAGCUAAUACCGGAUAAUAUAUUGAACCGCAUGGUUCAAUAGUGAAAGACGGUUCUGCUGUCACUUAUAGAUGGAUCCGCGCCGCAUUAGCUAGUUGGUAAGGUAACGGCUUACCAAGGCGACGAUGCGUAGCCGACCUGAGAGGGUGAUCGGCCACACUGGAACUGAGACACGGUCCAGACUCCUACGGGAGGCAGCAGUAGGGAAUCUUCCGCAAAGGGCGAAAGCCUGACGGAGCAACGCCGCGUGAGUGAUGAAGGUCUUCGGAUCGUAAAACUCUGUUAUUAGGGAAGAACAAAUGUGUAAGUAACUAUGCACGUCUUGACGGUACCUAAUCAGAAAGCCACGGCUAACUACGUG